rnacentral:rRNA from 1 species
GAUGAACGCUGGCGGCGUGCCUAAUACAUGCAAGUCGAGCGAACAGACCAUGUUCUUGCUCCUCUCUCGUUUGCGGCCGUCGUGUCAUUAACACGUCUUUAACCUUCCUUUUAUUCUUGUAUAACUUCCGGAAACCUUAUCUUAUACCGUAUAAUAUUUUCAUCCGCUUGGUUCUUUUGUUAUAGUCCCUUUUUCUGUCUCUUAUACUUGGAUCCCCGCCGCAUUAGCUAGUUGGUAAGGUAACGUCUUACCAAGGCAACGAUGCGUAGCCGACGUGAGAGGGGGAUAGGACAAACGGGAAGGGAGACACGGACCAGACGACUACGGGAGGCAGCAGUAGGGAAUGGGCCGCAAUGGGCGAAAGCAUGACGGAGCAAGGCGGAGUGAGUGAUGAAGGUCUUAGGAUCGUAAAAAUCUGUUAUUAGGGAAGAACAAAUGUGUAAGUAAAUAUGCACGUAUUGACGGUACCUAAUCAGAAAGCAACGGCUAACUACGUG